GAGUUUGAUCCUGGCUCAGGAUGAACGCUAGCGACAGGCUUAACACAUGCAAGUCGAGGGGCAGCACAGGUAGCAAUACCGGGUGGCGACCGGCGCACGGGUGAGUAACGCGUAUGCAACUUGCCUAUCAGAGGGGGAUAACCCGGCGAAAGUCGGACUAAUACCGCAUGAAGCAGGGGCCCCGCAUGGGGAUAUUUGCUAAAGAUUCAUCGCUGAUAGAUAGGCAUGCGUUCCAUUAGGCAGUUGGCGGGGUAACGGCCCACCAAACCGACGAUGGAUAGGGGUUCUGAGAGGAAGGUCCCCCACAUUGGUACUGAGACACGGACCAAACUCCUACGGGAGGCAGCAGUGAGGAAUAUUGGUCAAUGGGCGUAAGCCUGAACCAGCCAAGUCGCGUGAGGGAUGAAGGUUCUAUGGAUCGUAAACCUCUUUUAUAAGGGAAUAAAGUGCGGGACGUGUCCCGUUUUGUAUGUACCUUAUGAAUAAGGAUCGGCUAACUCCGUGCCAGCAGCCGCGGUAAUACGGAGGAUCCGAGCGUUAUCCGGAUUUAUUGGGUUUAAAGGGUGCGUAGGCGGCCUUUUAAGUCAGCGGUGAAAGUCUGUGGCUCAACCAUAGAAUUGCCGUUGAAACUGGGGGGCUUGAGUAUGUUUGAGGCAGGCGGAAUGCGUGGUGUAGCGGUGAAAUGCAUAGAUAUCACGCAGAACCCCGAUUGCGAAGGCAGCCUGCCAAGCCAUUACUGACGCUGAUGCACGAAAGCGUGGGGAUCAAACAGGAUUAGAUACCCUGGUAGUCCACGCAGUAAACGAUGAUCACUAGCUGUUUGCGAUACACUGUAAGCGGCACAGCGAAAGCGUUAAGUGAUCCACCUGGGGAGUACGCCGGCAACGGUGAAACUCAAAGGAAUUGACGGGGGCCCGCACAAGCGGAGGAACAUGUGGUUUAAUUCGAUGAUACGCGAGGAACCUUACCCGGGUUUGAACGCAUUUUGACAGCUCUGGAAACAGAGCCUCUAGCAAUAGCGAUUUGCGAGGUGCUGCAUGGUUGUCGUCAGCUCGUGCCGUGAGGUGUCGGCUUAAGUGCCAUAACGAGCGCAACCCUUGCCACUAGUUACUAACAGGUAAAGCUGAGGACUCUGGUGGGACUGCCAGCGUAAGCUGCGAGGAAGGCGGGGAUGACGUCAAAUCAGCACGGCCCUUACAUCCGGGGCGACACACGUGUUACAAUGGCGUGGACAAAGGGAAGCCACCUGGCGACAGGGAGCGAAUCCCCAAACCACGUCUCAGUUCGGAUCGGAGUCUGCAACCCGACUCCGUGAAGCUGGAUUCGCUAGUAAUCGCGCAUCAGCCAUGGCGCGGUGAAUACGUUCCCGGGCCUUGUACACACCGCCCGUCAAGCCAUGGGAGCCGGGGGUACCUGAAGUCCGUAACCGCGAGGAUCGGCCUAGGGUAAAACUGGUGACUGGGGCUAAGUCGUAACAAGGUAGCCGUACCGGAAGGUGCGGCUGGAACACC
rnacentral:rRNA from 1 species